UUUGGCCUGUGAUGGGAAAAUAUAUAUUUGCCUACAUUGUCUGAUCAUAUUUACAUGACAGAGAUGUGUAUAUGAUCUGAGGCCAUG
rfam:Ipomoea nil DNA, scaffold: scaffold0302, cultivar: Tokyo-kokei standard.